AGAGGGUGCAAACGUUGUUCGGAAUUACUGGGCGUAAAGCGUGUGUAGGCGGCCUCGCAAGUCGGAUGUGAAAGCCCCGGGCUCAACCCGGGAAGUGCACCCGAUACUGCUUGGCUUGAGUACCGGAGAGGUUGGUGGAAUUCUCGGUGUAGAGGUGAAAUUCGUAGAUAUCGAGAGGAACACCGGUGGCGAAGGCGGCCAACUGGACGAGUACUGACGCUGAGACACGAAAGCGUGGGGAGCAAACAGGAUUAGAUACCCUGGUAGUCCACGCCGUAAACGAUGGGUGCUAGGUGUCGCGGGCUUUGACUCCUGCGGUGCCGUAGCUAACGCAUUAAGCACCCCGCCUGGGAAGUACGGCCGCAAGGCUAAA
rnacentral:rRNA from 1 species